GGGAGGGUUCCGCUGCUGUCUCUUUGGUCUGGAGCUGCUGGAGUGAGAGGAAUUUACGGUUCGCUCCGCGGGUACCUCGUGGAACGGCGGUUCUUGUUCCAGAGGGGAACUCUGACCCCAGAGCCUUACAGGGUCUGUAGCCUUGAUAAAUGGGAAUGAAAUUGGCCCAGUCUGUCAGGAAAGCAAAAACAUCCUGGGGUUUGUUUGGCCAAACACGGACCAUGAAGAUGUCUGUACUUCCAGUGGGGGGAGAAGAACACGACUUCACAGCCACUCAGGCCUGGCAGUCCCUGCAGUGAGAGCUCAGCACACAUCGACAGAGGCAAGUCGAUCAUCUGAAAGAAGAAAAAUAAACAGAAGAAAAAGCAGCCGGUGAGGAAGGGAGGAGAGGCUCCAUGCGGGAUGAGACCGGAGAGAGCGAGCAGAGGAGCGGCCUCGGGCUGGAGAGGGGCAGGAGAAAGGCAAAGGGACCUCCCUGGGGUCACCAUGGCCUGUGUGGAACAGAAUGGACACUUGGAUGAGCAGUGGAGGGGAGGAGUGGAUCUGAGCUCAUCUACAGGGAAAUGAGGAGGGGAUAUUUUGGGGGGAAAAGCUGAGGUGCUGAGGUCACUCACCCUGGCACAAGUUGUGUUUGCACCAAGUGCAAAAACCCACAAGGAACCUUCCAGAAGCAGGCCUUCAUUGCAUAGCUGGGAUUUCAGAUUGCUCAUAGAUUCUAUCCUCCAAUCUUCUCUCAGGUUCUUGUUCCAGAGAGGCUCUGACCCCAGAGCCAUACAGGGUGUGUAGCCUUGAUAAAUGGGAAUGAAAUUGGCCCAGUCUGUCAGGAAAGCAAAAACAUCCUGGGGUUUGUUUGGCCAAACACGGACCAGGAAGAUGUCUGUACUUCCAGUGGGGGGAGAAGAACACCAACUCACAGCCACUCAGGCCUGGCAGUCCCUGCAGUGAGAGCUCAGCACACAUCGACAGAGGCAAGUCCAGCAUCUGAAAGAAGAAAAAUAAACAGCAGAAAAAGAAUUUCCUCAUCUCAAAUUCAAGUCUGAGGAGCCAAACAGCCACAGUUUAUUCUGAGGCCUUUUAUACCUCGUGGGAUUUGCUCCUCCUUUUCCUGCAAGUGAGGGGUGAUCCCAAUCAGCGGUAUAUUAACCGCAGCCUUCGCCAAGGGCCUCCAUUUCCUCUCUGGAAUCAGCUGGGAUAAGGGUUCUCCUCUCAUUUCAAUGUAGAGGCUGUUUCAUCUUGUCUCAGGUCGAUUUUGUGAUGAUGGCAUCAGACAGAGUGCAGCUGGAGUGAGUGAGGUGAGCCCCUGGGCAUUCCUGGGAGAUGGUGACUAAGGGACAACAGCUCAGCGAUGGCAGGAAUUUCCCCGAUGGUGAAGCUUUUUUACUGCACACCUGGCAUGGAUUCUCAUACCUGGAUCUCUGACAGAUAAGUGCUGGGCUCCAACCCACAGAGGGGAUGGGAGUGGCAUGCUGUGUCUGGAAUUGUCAGGAGGGAUUUUUGAGGCAGCUUUGGAGCUGGGGAUGUCCAAGAAGCAGCCCCUCAGGCCCCAUAAGGGGAAGAGUCUCAAUUUGAUCUCAAUACUGAUUUGCACAGGGCAGAGCAGUUCCUCUGGGUGUCACGUCACUUGUCCCUUGUGCAGUCUGUGUGUUCUGUGUGUGUUGUAUUGCAUGUCUCUUGCCUUAGCCCUUUGAGGGGCCUGUCAGAAACCCUGAGGUCAUCCAUAGCAUCUUGUGAUCUCUGCAUUCCUCAGCCUGGCUCUGGUGCCAUCAAACCUUGGUCUCAGGAGCUUGGACAGGCAUCUGAAUCUCUUCUCUUUUGGAAAGCAUCCAGUCUGAUCUCUUUUAAGGUCUUUUUCUGAGCUGUGCACCUGAAGGAUCCCUUAUCUCAGAUUGGAACUUGGAAGAAUAGAAGAUAAGAAGAGGAUUCCAAGGCAUCCAUCUCUGCAGCAUCUUCUUGAAGGAAAUCAUUCUGCUAGCAUCUUUUUCCCACCUCGUCAGCUUGCUCUAAGACUUCCCUCAGUCAUCUCAUUUUGCAUUCCCUCAGUCUUCCUGGUCCUUCCUCUUGCUGAGAUAUUUUUUCCCUCUCUUGUCCUCUCCUCGUUUGUCAUGUCCUGUGUCACGGGUGCCUGCAUGCAUUUGGGUCGGAGCUGCUCUGCCCUGCUGUGUAGUCUGGGCACAGGUGUGCUAGGACCAGUCCUGGGGACUUGCUUUUUGUAAUGUGGGGUGGUGUUGGACCCUAGAUGAAAUCUGGAGGUAUAAAGUUAUUCUGCAGCACAUUUGACUUCUGUCCUACCUUCCUUUCAGAUGCAGAUGGAUCAAAUCUGAGGCUGUGGGCCCAUCCUAGGAAAUGAAGCAGGAUAUCUAUGGUCAAGGCGAAGCAGGCCAGGCAGUGCCCUUGAACUACCCUGAGAUGGCUCUGCCCAGCUGGCCCAGAGACCCAGUUCACUGCUCCUGUGAGCCCUCCAGCAGUAUUACAGGACUCUGAUGAAGCCUUCACCUUCUCCUAUUUGAAGAUGCCAGCCAGGUCUACCCUGCCAGGACAGUCUCAGCCUCUGAGUGCAGCUGAAGUGAGUGAGUGAGGCACUGGACAUUCCUGGGAGAUGCUGACUAAGGGACAACAGCCCAGCGAUGGCAGGAAUUUCCCCGAUGGUGAAGCUUUUUUACUGCACACCUGGCAUGGAUUCUCAUACCUGGAUCUGACAGACAAGUGCUGGGCUCCAACCCACAGAGGGGACGGGAGCGGGAUGCUGGGUCUGGAAUUGUCAGGAGGGAUUUUUGAGGCAGCUUUGGAGCUGGGGAUGUCCAAGAAGCAGCCCCUCAGGCCCCAUAAGGGGAAGAGUCUCAAUUUGAUCUCAAUGCUGAUUUGCACAGGGCAGAGCAGUUCCUCUGGGUGUCAUGUCACUUGUCUCUUGUGCAGUCUGUGUGUUCUGUGUGUGUUGCCUGUCUCUUGCCUUAGCCCUUUGAGGGGCCUCUCAGAAACCCUGGGCUCAUCCAUAGCAUCUUGUGAUCUCUGCAUUCCUCAGCCUGGCUCUGGUGCCAUCAAACCUUGGUCUCAGGAGCUU